AGAGUUUGAUCCUGGCUCAGAGUGAACGCUGGCGGCGUGGAUUAGGCAUGCAAGUCGAGCGAUCCUUGCUGGAAAUUUUGUUGAAGUGCUUGCACUGAUAUGAUUUGGAAAGCUCUGGAUAGCGGCAAACGGGUGAGGAACACGUGAGUAAUUUGCCUCAAAGUCAAACAUAGCUUCGUGAAAACGGAGGUAAUAUUUGAUGUGGUCUCGCCACCGUAUGGUGGCGGAAUUAAAGGUGGGGACCUUCGGGCCUGCCACUUUGAGAUGAGCUCGCGUCCUAUCAGCUUGUUGGUGGGGUGAAGGCCUACCAAGGCGUAUGACGGGUAGCUGGUCUGAGAGGAUGGUCAGCCACACUGGGACUGAGACACUGCCCAGACUCCUACGGGAGGCUGCAGUCGAGAAUCUUUAGCAAUGGACGAAAGUCUGACUAAGCGACGCCGCGUGCAGGAUGAAGGUUUUCGGAUUGUAAACUGCUUUUAUCAGGAAAGAAACUCCCGCCGUAUAAUAUAUGGCAGGAUUGACGGUACCUGAUGAAUAAGCCACGGCCAACUCCGUGCCAGCAGCCGCGGUAAUACGGAGGUGGCGAGCGUUACUCGGAAUUAUUGGGUGUAAAGGGCAAGUAGGCGGCUUGUUAUGUGAGAGGUGAAAUCUUCCGACUCAAUCGGGAAAUUGCCCUUCAAACUGACAGGCUUGAGGCAGGAAGAGGGAAAUGGAAUUAGCGGUGUAAGGGUGAAAUCUGUAGAUAUCGCUAAGAACACCAGCAGCGUAGGCGAUUUCCUGGUCCUGUUCUGACGCUGAAUUGCGAAAGCUAGGGGAGCAAACAGAAUUAGAUACUCUGGUAGUCCUAGCUGUAAACGAUGAGCACUAGGUGUUGGUCCGUCAAGGAUCAGUGCCGCAGCUAACGCGAUAAGUGCUCCACCUGGGGACUACGGCCGCAAGGCUAAAACUCAAAGGAAUUGACGGGGACCCGCACAAGCGGUGGAACAUGUGGUUUAAUUCGAUGCUACGCGAAGAACCUCACCAGGGCUUGACAUGCCCGUCGUAUUCCCCUGAAAGGGGGAAGUCAUUUAGUUGGACGGUGCACAGGUGCUGCAUGGCUGUCGUCAGCUCGUGUCGUGAGAUGUUGGGUUAAGUCCCGCAACGAGCGCAACCAUUGCCCUAUGUUGCUAACUUCUGAUCCAUUUUUUGGAUUUGGAGUGCACUCUUAGGGGACUGCCCGGGAUAACCGGGAGGAAGGUGGAGAUGACGUCAAGUCAGUACGGCCUUUAUGCCCUGGGCUACACACGUGUUACAAUGGCUGGUACAAAGGGUUGCCAACCCGCGAGGGGGAGCUAAUCUCAAAAAACCAGCCUCAGUUCGGAUUGGAGUCUGCAAUUCGACUCCAUGAAGCCGGAAUCGCUAGUAAUGGGAGAUCAGCUCGCUCCCGUGAAUACGUUCCCGGGUCUUGUACACACCGCCCGUCAAGCGAUGGGAGCUAGGGGUACCCGAAGUCCUAUGUAGAUAGGCCGAAGGUGAAACUGGUGACUGGCGCUAAGUCGUAACAAGGUA
rnacentral:rRNA from 1 species